rnacentral:rRNA from 1 species
ACCAGACCCAAAUAUCAAGGGGGUCUCGGUUUCAAGGUUAUUGAGUUAGUUGACUUGGCAAUCCUUGCGCGCCAAGCUUGGCGAAUUUUGCAGGAACCAGGGACCUUGAGUGCAUGCAUUCUGAAAGCUAGAUAUUUCCCUGACACUGAUAUUCUGCAGGCUGUUGUGGGAAACCGUCCAUCCCAGAUAUGGAGGGCUAUCAUUGUGGGCAUAGACAUUUUAGUUCAGGGUUUGAUCCGAAGGAUUGGUGAUGGAAAAAGCCCCAAGAUCUGGCGCCAUAACUGGCUAUCCAGAAAUCAGUCAAUGAGGCCAGUGGCAUGUAUUUCCGCAAACCCACCAAAUUUAGUCUCGGAAUUGUUAUUCUCCAACUCUGCAACAUGGAACAAGGACUUGAUUGAGAGCACUUUUAUUCAUUUUGAUGCUGAAGCUAUUCUACCCAUACCACCCUGGACUAAACAACUUGAUGACUUUUGGUCUUGGAAUCAUGAGAAGAAUGGAAUUUUCAGUGUAAGAUCAUCCUACAGGAUGCUAGUUGAUACUCGGCGAGAGGCGUGGUUGGAAGGACGCUCUGGGCCCUCCAAUAUAGAAGCGGGAGAGAAAUCUUGA